UAGGGAAUCUUCCGCAAUGGACGAAAGUCUGACGGAGCAACGCCGCGUGAGUGAUGAAGGUUUUCGGAUCGUAAAGCUCUGUUGUUAGGGAAGAACAAGUACCGUUCAAAUAGGGCGGUACCUUGACGGUACCUAACCAGAAAGCCACGGCUAACUACGUGCCAGCAGCCGCGGUAAUACGUAGGUGGCAAGCGUUGUCCGGAAUUAUUGGGCGUAAAGGGCUCGCAGGCGGUUUCUUAAGUCUGAUGUGAAAGCCCCCGGCUUAACCGGGGAGGGUCAUUGGAAACUGGGGAACUUGAGUGCAGAAGAGGAGAGUGGAAUUCCACGUGUAGCGGUGAAAUGCGUAGAGAUGUGGAGGAACACCAGUGGCGAAGGCGACUCUCUGGUCUGUAACUGACGCUGAGGAGCGAAAGCGUGGGGAGCGAACAGG
rnacentral:rRNA from 1 species